CCCUUAGAUGUUCUGGGCAGCACGCGCGCUACAAUGGUCUUCGCAAACGGAUGCAUUCUCGAAGGAGAAUGCCAAUCUUGGAAUCUAUGCCUUGGUCGGGACAGUUGCUUGCAAUUUUUCGACUCGAACCAGGAAUUCCUUGUAAUCGUGAUUCAUCACAUCACGAUGAAUACGUCCCUGCCCUUUGUACACACCGCCCGUCGCACCUACCGAUUGGAUGGUCCGGUGAAGCCUCGGGAUUGUGGUUCUUGCCGCUUUAUUGUGGCGUGACCGCGAGAACUUGUCUAAACCUUAUCAUCUAGAGGAAGGUGAAGUCGUAACA
rnacentral:rRNA from 1 species